rnacentral:miRNA from 1 species
UCACUGGGUUUGUGAUUCCUGC